UACGGGGGGGGCAAGCGUUGUUCGGAAUUACUGGGCGUAAAGGGUGCGUAGGCGGGUUCUUAAGUCAGAGGUGAAAUCCUGGAGCUCAACUCCAGAACUGCCUUUGAUACUGAGAGUCUUGAGUUCGGGAGAGGUGAGUGGAACUGCGAGUGUAGAGGUGAAAUUCGUAGAUAUUCGCAAGAACACCAGUGGCGAAGGCGGCUCACUGGCCCGAUACUGACGCUGAAAUACGAAAGCGUGGGGAGCAAACAGG
rnacentral:rRNA from 1 species